AGAUUGAACGCUGGCGGCAUGCCUUACACAUGCAAGUCGAACGGCAGCACGGGAGCAAUCCUGGUGGCGAGUGGCGAACGGGUGAGUAAUACAUCGGAACGUGCCCAAUCGUGGGGGAUAACGCAGCGAAAGCUGUGCUAAUACCGCAUAAGAUCUACGGAUGAAAGCAGGGGAUCGCAAGACCUUGCGCGAAUGGAGCGGCCGAUGGCAGAUUAGGUAGUUGGUGAGGUAAAGGCUCACCAAGCCUUCGAUCUGUAGCUGGUCUGAGAGGACCGACCAGCCACACUGGGACUGAGACCACGGCCCAGACCUCCGUAACGGGG
rnacentral:rRNA from 1 species